GCCAGGAUGUGGAGAGUCUGAUAGGAUCCUGCUUGCUCUUGAGCUAGUUUGGAUGGCGUGCCAUUCAUCAAGGCCAAAAUGCCGGCUCGUCUCUGGAUUUUCCUCAAAUACUCGGGACAAUGGAUUCACUCUUCACGCGUUUCCAAAAAAACUCGAUUCGUCAUGAAAAAUGAAUUGCACAGGUGCAAAGGACAAGAGCUUUGUGGGUUCCAAUUGACAGCCGCUUAUCCUCACGAUGGUUGCGGGAAAGCUGGAGCCUAUCCCAGCGAGCUUCAGGCGAAAGUCGCCAGUCAGUCUGAGGGCACC